rnacentral:rRNA from 1 species
UACGUAGGGGUCGAGCGUUGUCCGGAAUUAUUGGGCGUAAAGAGCGCGUAGGCGGUCCGAUAAGUCGGCUGUGAAAGUCAGGGGCUCAACCCUUGAAAGCCGGCCGAUACUGUCGGACUAGAGUCCGGAAGAGGCAAGUGGAAUUCCCGGUGUAGCGGUGAAAUGCGCAGAUAUCGGGAGGAACACCAAUGGCGAAGGCAGCUUGCUGGGACGGUACUGACGCUGAGGCGCGAAAGCGUGGGGAGCGAACAGG